GACGAAGGGGGCUAGCGUUGUUCGGAAUUACUGGGCGUAAAGCGAGUGUAGGCGGUUGUUAUAGUCAGGUGUGAAAGCCUUGAGCUCAACUCAAGAAAUGCACUUGAUACUGAACAGCUAGAGUACCGGAGAGGAUAGUGGAAUUCCCAGUGUAGUGGUGAAAUACGUAGAGAUUGGGAAGAACACCAGUGGCGAAGGCGGCUAUCUGGACGGUUACUGACGCUAAGACUCGAAAGCGUGGGGAGCAAACAGG
rnacentral:rRNA from 1 species